rnacentral:rRNA from 1 species
GACGAACGCUGGCGGCGUGCUUAACACAUGCAAGUCGAACGAUGAAGCUGGAGCUUGCUCCGGUGGAUUAGUGGCGAACGGGUGAGUAACACGUGAGCAAUCUGCCCUUGACUCUGGGAUAACUGCGGGAAACUGUAGCUAAUACCGGAUACUUUCCUUGGUGGGCAUCCACUGGGGAAGAAAGAAUUUCGGUCAAGGAUGAGCUCGCGGCCUAUCAGCUAGUUGGUGAGGUAAUGGCUCACCAAGGCGACGACGGGUAGCCGGCCUGAGAGGGUGACCGGCCACACUGGAACUGAGACACGGUCCAGACUCCUACGGGAGGCAGCAGUGGGGAAUAUUGCACAAUGGGCGAAAGCCUGAUGCAGCAACGCCGCGUGAGGGACGAAGGCCUUCGGGUUGUAAACCUCUUUUAGCAGGGAAGAAGCGAAAGUGACGGUACCUGCAGAAAAAGCAC